UCCGUAGGGGGCAAGCGUUGUCCGGAUUUAUUGGGCGUAAAGAGCGUGUAGGCGGCCUGACAGGUCUGCUGUGAAAACUCGAGGCUCAACCUCGAGAUGUCGGCGGAAACCGUCUGGCUAGAGUCCGGAAGAGGAGAGUGGAAUUCCUGGUGUAGCGGUGAAAUGCGCAGAUAUCAGGAAGAACACCUAUGGCGAAGGCAGCUCUCUGGGACGGUACUGACGCUGAGACGCGAAAGCGUGGGGAGCGAACAGG
rnacentral:rRNA from 1 species